rnacentral:tRNA from 1 species
AAGGUGCUAGUAAAAUUGACAUUACAUUGCCUUGUCAAGGCAAAAUUGUGGGUUAAAGCCCCACGUAUCUUA